rnacentral:rRNA from 1 species
UACGUAGACCUCAAGCGUUAUCCGGAUUUAUUGGGCGUAAAGAGCAUGUAGGUGGUUUUGUGCGUCUCUGGUUAAAGCCCACUGCCCAACGGUGGAGAUGCCAGAGAUACGACAAAACUAGAGGGAGUUAGAGGCAAGUAGAACGCACGGUGUAGGGGUGAAAUCCGUUGAUAUCGUGCGGAAUACCAAAGGCGAAGGCAGCUUGCUGGGACUUUCCUGACACUGAGAUGCGAAAGCGUGGGGAG